CGAGCGUGUCGUUAACUACAACGUUGCCGUUGAGUUUCUUUUGUGAACAAAAUCUUCGAAUUUACUCGAUCAAAUAUUAAAAUGUCCACUUUCCAACGAGUUUUCGGUAUGCUGAUGGUCAUGUCAAUGCUGAUGGUGUUGACUAAUGCAAAUGCGCUGGAUAAGAAAGCACAACGAUGUAAGUGGUAUGAGGUCAUGUCACAACCACACCGAAUGGAUAUUAUUCCGGAUAUUAUUGCAUUGCAUUCUAAUAUGGAAUUUGAAGGGAACGUUAUGCUUUUUCCGUUUCUUUUGUAUUGUCAAGCGUAUGUUGUUUGUAAUAAAGUGAAAUUAAAGUGAGAGAAAGA